rnacentral:rRNA from 1 species
GAAGGGGCUAGCGUUGCUCGGAAUCACUGGGCGUAAAGGGUGCGUAGGCGGGUCUUUAAGUUCAGGGGUGAAAUCCUGGAGCUCAACUCCAGAACUGCCUUUGAUACUGAGGAUCUUGAGUCCGGAAGAGGUGAGUGGAACUGCGAGUGUAGAGGUGAAAUUCGUAGAUAUUCGCAAGAACACCAGUGGCGAAGGCGGCUCACUGGUCCGGUACUGACGCUGAGGCACGAAAGCGUGGGAGCAAACAGGAUUAGAUACCCUGGUAGUCCACGCUGUAAACGAUGAAUGCCAGCCGUUGGGAGUUUACUCUUCAGUGGCGCAGUUAACGCUUUAAGCAUUCCGCCUGGGGAGUACGGUCGCAAGAUUA